rnacentral:rRNA from 1 species
GUAACUCCUGAUUAUCAUAAAUCACCUCACCACUUUAGAGCAAUUCAAAUGAGGUACAGCCCAUUUGAUAUAGGAUACAACCUUAACUAACGGGUAACAUUAAAUCUACACCUCCAAGUAGGCCUAAGAGCAGCCACCCUUUAAAAAAGCGUCAAAGCUUAAUCAUGUUCACAUCAAUUUUUAAUCUUCAAUUGACCCCUUUUACCUUACUGAGAAUUUCUAUAUCAUAUAGAAUAUUUUAUGCUAAAACUAGUAACAAGAGUAAACCCUCUCCCAAUGCAAACACAAGCCAGCAAGAACCCAUCACUGGCAAUUAACAGACUUAAACAAAAGUAGCAACAUCUCUAGAAAACCCUACUCAUCCCAACUGUUAACCUUAUACCAGAGCAUUUCAGGAAAGAUUAAAAGAAAAAGAAGGAACUCGGCAAACACUAAUCCCGCCUGUUUACCAAAAACAUCGCCUCUUGCCCCCAUAAGAGGUCAAGCCUGCCCAGUGACUUUGUUCAACGGCCGCGGUAUCCUAACCGUGCAAAGGUAGCGUAAUCACUUGUUUUCUAAAUAAAGACCAGUAUGAAAGGCAUCACGAGGAUUAAACUGUCUCCUUUUUCCAAUCAGUGAAACUAAUCUCCCCGUGAAGAAGCGGGGAUUAUCCUAUAAGACGAG